AACGCUAGCUACAGGCUUAACACAUGCAAGUCGAGGGGAAACGACAUCGAAAGCUUGCUUUUGAUGGGCGUCGACCGGCGCACGGGUGAGUAACGCGUAUCCAACCUGCCCACCACUUGGGGAUAACCUUGCGAAAGUAAGACUAAUACCCAAUGAUAUCUCUAGAAGACAUCUGAAAGAGAUUAAAGAUUUAUCGGUGAUGGAUGGGGAUGCGUCUGAUUAGCUUGUUGGCGGGGUAACGGCCCACCAAGGCGACGAUCAGUAGGGGUUCUGAGAGGAAGGUCCCCCACAUUGGAACUGAGACACGGUCCAAACUCCUACGGGAGGCAGCAGUGAGGAAUAUUGGUCAAUGGACGAGAGUCUGAACCAGCCAAGUAGCGUGCAGGAUGACGGCCCUAUGGGUUGUAAACUGCUUUUAUAAGGGAAUAAAGUGAGUCUCGUGAGACUUUUUGCAUGUACCUUAUGAAUAAGGACCGGCUAAUUCCGUGCCAGCAGCCGCGGUAAUACGGAAGGUCCGGGCGUUAUCCGGAUUUAUUGGGUUUAAAGGGAGCGUAGGCCGGAGAUUAAGCGUGUUGUGAAAUGUAGACGCUCAACGUCUGCACUGCAGCGCGAACUGGUUUCCUUGAGUACGCACAAAGUGGGCGGAAUUCGUGGUGUAGCGGUGAAAUGCUUAGAUAUCACGAAGAACUCCGAUUG
rnacentral:rRNA from 1 species